GAUGAACGCUAGCUACAGGCUUAACACAUGCAAGUCGAGGGGAAACGAUAGAGAAAGCUUGCUUUUUCUAGGCGUCGACCGGCGCACGGGUGAGUAACGCGUAUCCAACCUGCUCAUCACUUGGGGAUAACCUUGAGAAAGUAAGACUAACACCCAAUGACGUUUAUAGAAGACAUCCGAAAGGGAUAAAAGAUUUAUAGGUGAUGGAUGGGGAUGCGUCUGAUUAGCUUGUUGGCGGGGUAACGGCCCAGCAAGGCGACGAUCACUAGUGGUUCUGAGAGGAAGGUCCCCCACAUGGGAACUGAGACACGGUCCAAACUCCUACGGGAGGCAGCAGUGAGGAAUAGUGGUCAAUGGACGAGAGUCUGAACCAGCCAAGUAGCGUGCAGGAUGACGGCCCUAUGGGUUGUAAACUGCUUUUAUAAGGGAAUAAAGUGAGAGUCGUGACUCUUUUUGCAUGUACCUUAUGAAUAAGGACCGGCUAAUUCCGUGCCAGCAGCCGCGGUAA
rnacentral:rRNA from 1 species